rnacentral:rRNA from 1 species
GAUGAACGCUGGCGGCGUGCCUAAUACAUGCAAGUCGAGCGAACAGACGAGGAGCUUGCUCCUCUGACGUUAGCGGCGGACGGGUGAGUAACACGUGGAUAACCUACCUAUAAGACUGGGAUAACUUCGGGAAACCGGAGCUAAUACCGGAUAAUAUAUUGAACCGCAUGGUUCAAUAGUGAAAGACGGUUUUGCUGUCACUUAUAGAUGGAUCCGCGCCGCAUUAGCUAGUUGGUAAGGUAACGGCUUACUAAGGCAACGAUGCGCAGCCGACCUGAGAGGGUGAUCGGCCACACUGGAACUGAGACACGGUCCGGACUCCUACGGGAGGCAGCAGUAGGGAAUCUUCCGCAAUGGGCGAAAGCCUGACGGAGCGACGCCGCGUGAGUGAUGAAGGUCUUCGGAUCGUAAAACUCUGUUAUUAGGGAAGAACAAAUGUGUAAGUAACUAUGCACGUCUUGACGGUACCUAAUCAGAAAGCCACGGCUAACUACGUGCCAGCCGCCGCAGUAA